rnacentral:rRNA from 1 species
AUUGAACGCUGGCGGCAGGCCUAACACAUGCAAGUCGAACGAGCGGCGGACGGGUGAGUAAUGUAUGGGAAACUGCCCGAUGGAGGGGGAUAACUACUGGAAACGGUAGCUAAUACCGCAUACCAUCGGAUGUGCCCAGAUGGGAUUAGCUCGUAGGUGAGGUAACGGCUCACCUAGGCGACGAUCCCUAGCUGGUCUGUGAGGAUGACCAGCAACACUGGGACUGAGACACGGUCCAGACUCCUACGGGAGGCAGCAGUGGGGAAGAUUGCACAAUGGGCGCAAGCCUGAUGCAGCCAUGCCGCGUGUAUGAAGAAGGCCUGCGGGUUGUAAAGUACUUUCAGCGGGGAGGCGUUACCCGCAGAAGAAGCACCGGCUAACUCCGUGCCAGCAGCCGCGGUAAUAC